UACGACCUACGGGGGGCAGCAGUAGGGAAUCUUCCACAAUGGGCGAAAGCCUGAUGGAGCAACGCCGCGUGGAGGAUGAAGGUUUUAGGAUUGUAAACUCCUUUUGUGAGAGAAGAUAAUGACGGUAUCUCACGAAUAAGCACCGGCUAACUCCGUGCCAGCAGCCGCGGUAAUACGGAGGGUGCAAGCGUUACUCGGAAUCACUGGGCGUAAAGAGUGCGCAGGCGGGCUUGUAAGUCAGAUGUGAAAUCCUGUAGCUUAACUACAGAACUGCAUUUGAAACUAUGAGUCUAGAGUGUGGGAGG
rnacentral:rRNA from 1 species